UACAGAGGGUGCAAGCGUUGUUCGGAAUUAUUGGGCGUAAAGCGCGUGUAGGCGGCUUUGCAAGUCGGGUGUGAAAGCCCUCAGCUCAACUGAGGAAGUGCGCCCGAAACUGCAGAGCUUGAGUGCCGGAGAGGGUGGCGGAAUUCCCCAAGUAGAGGUGAAAUUCGUAGAUAUGGGGAGGAACACCGGUGGCGAAGGCGGC
rnacentral:rRNA from 1 species